UAAUUAAUUAAUGAGAAAUGUGGUUUUUAAUAUCACAUGAUCAAGCAUACAAGCACACAGCGAUAAUAAUGUCAUUCACAACAUUAGUUUUGAAAAAGUUUUAAUAAACUCAGAUUUUUGAAUUAUAGAAAAAGUGGUAGUGAAAGAAGGGUGUGACAUAGUAAUAAAACAACUAGCAUGGCAAUGAUAUUAAUGGUAUCUAGAGAAUUGAUUAUCUUGCGUGUGAUCCAUCUUGGAAGAAGAACGAAACCGUGAAGCAGACGAACCGACUUAGUCGAUCGGAUCCUCGCAAUCAGACAUGCUUGUGGAACUCUAUCGAGACGAAGCAAACUGUAAACAAGAAUUAACACACGAUAUUCACAACGGCACAUGCACGAUAUGAUGCACAACCUAAUAUGAUGCAUGUCCAUUUUAAUUAUGCAAGGCGUGGAACGACAAUUCACAACAAUCGAACACUACACAUUAAGUGAAGCUCAAUAUGCAACGAGUUGCAUAUUGAUGAAACUCCACAUACAAAUUAUUUAGUUCACACCUAUUUAGGUAUACGACAAUAUUAAAUAUUGUUUAACAUGGCAAGAGGUGAAACAUAAAUAAACUACCUAUCUAGACAUUUAAAAUGAGGACGGAAACGACAUAUAGGAUCUCCAAAAUGACCCCAUAUGUUAAUUAAGAAAUCUGUUUUUAAUGUUUGGUAAACAUCAGAAUAAAGAGUUUCACGUGGUUCUAUGCGUCAUUCUAGUCGAUUUACAUAUAUAUAGCUCAUCUCCAACGGAGCUACGGUUAACCAGCUACGGAUUAAACCGAUUUAGCAUGGCUUCACGCAAAACAAGGCAAACAACAAGGUUAAUCGUUUUUAAUAUGCAUGAGAGUUGGAAAAUAUUGAUCUACACGAAGUUUUACGCGUCUGCAUAUCUAACUCAUUUUGAUCCGACGCACGGUUUAAAAGAUAUGACCAUCUUUAAAACAUGGCAUUUUCUGAAUUCUUGGAUAAAGAAGAAAUUUGCACGGCCGAAAAAAACACAACCGGGCUGAAUUGCAUCCUAGUGCAGCAACCCAGGAUUGGAUCAGGCCCAAGUGACCAUGUGUGAAAAACGGAGAACCUGGGAUCUGAACUCCGGUCUCUUGGGUCUACACAUGUGCGGCUGACCGAUAGCUCUACUAAUAACCUGUGAUCAGAAAAGGGUUCGGGAGAAGGCAAAAUUGACAAAANGCAUUAGGUUUUGGUUUGUAGUUAGUGGUAGUAGUUAGUAUUAGUAGUAGUUCAUAUGAGUAUAUGAGUCUUAUUUGAAUAUUAGUAAAUGAGUAAUUUUUUGUGAUUUGUAGGAUGGUGUGGCUUUUGAAUGAUGUUUAUGACGCUGAACACCGGGCCUAUUUCAUGUCGGAGAAGAAGAUGGUAAGUAGAAAAUGAUUAGUAGAUUAGUAAUAUUUUGAAAAUGUAAUAAGCACUUGAUAUCUUCUUCUCCUAUAUGUUUGCAGGAGCUUACGCCCCUGAAGAUCCGGUCUCAUGGGGCAUCCUCUGUAAUGCAUUACGAUGAGCGGUACACCCCGUACAUCGAGAUGACGGGACUCCUUCCAUUCGUGCAGCUUGUGAGUCGGUCAACUCCAAAUCUGAACGCUGCGGCAGUCACAGCACUCAUUGAUCGUUGGAGGCCGGAGACACAUAGUUUUCACCUCCGGACCGGAGAGAUGACGGUUACUCUUCAAGAUGUUUCCAUGAUCACCGCUCUNNNNNNNNNNNNNNNNNNNNNNNNNNNNNNNNNNNNNNNNNNNNNNNNNNNNNNNNNNNNNNNNNNNNNNNNNNNNNNNNNNNNNNNNNNNNNNNNNNNNNNNNNNNNNNNNNNNNNNNNNNNNNNNNNNNNNNNCUCUUCCCAUCGAGGGGAAGCCACUAUGUAUGAGCACUGAUUCUGAGGGAUGGUGGCAUCAAAUGGAGGCUCUUAUUGGUAUGUCGCCGCAGGAGCCGGAGGUGGAAGAUGGAGGGAAGAAAGAUAGAGUCCCUGCCGGCGCCACUUUCACUUGGAUUGCCGCCAACUUUGCUCAUUGUCCUGAGGACGCAGAUGACGAGGUCAUCCAGAGGUAUGCUCGCGUCUACAUGUGGUACGUCAUCUCUAGGACUAUCUUUGCGGACGGCACAGGCAAGAAUGCUCCUUGGAUGUGGCUGAAGGCGUUGACUGUUUUGGACAACAAGUUCAGCUGGGGCUCGGCCGCACUUGCUUACUUGUAUCGGCAGGUAAUAAAUUGUUAAUGUUAAGUACUCUCUGUUAUCUUUUUCUGCUAAACUGAUGCAUGUUUGUUGUUACUUGUAGUUGGACGAUGCUUGUCGCAGGACGACAAAGGACGGUGGAGUUGGUGGUUGUAUGCUCCUACUUUCAGUAUGGAGCUGGGAACGCCUACCUGUUGGACGCCCUAAAAGCUCAAAGUGGAAUACCUGGGAUGACCACGACAACUCUGUACGUCAACCUACAUGGGCUUACAAGUGGGACUUGGUACCGGAGGUGGCAAGCGAAGUGAACCUAUUGUACAAGCAGUACACCAACGAGAUGGAUUCGCUUACCCCCGAGCAGGUAAGAUGGUUUCAGAGUUGACUUCCAGCUUCUAUGUUGUGAGUGAAAUGAAUUGUGGUAUUCAUCUUGUGUUGUAGGUUGAAUGGGAGCCAUAUGGUGUCGGGACAAACUUUGGUGAUGCACACACGUUCGAGCUGAAUCCACUAUGCGUGCAGGAAAGACAUCUUUGGCUAAUGCGUUGUCCCCUAAUAUGCAAUUGGGCGGUUGAGUGGCAUCUCCCGCAUCGUGUGCUGCGUCAAUUUGGUUACUUUCAGCCACACCCGCCGGAGUGGGUGGACACGGACACACAGCUUCACAGGUAACAAAAAAUAAUUAGUGAUUAGUUUUGUUCUUAGUGUUGAGCGAGCUACUGAUGUGUUUUGUUCAAAGCAGGUUGGAUAGGAGGAGGCAGCGAAAAAUCAAGGACUGGCAGAAGCAUCAUAAGAGCUACGUCCUUAUGUUCGAGCAAAGUGUGCAGGCAACUUCGAGCAUACAACGAACCCAGUACCGUCAGCAUUGUGCUCUUGCGUUCAGCAACUACCUAAGAUGGUUUUAGGAGAGUACUCGUGUCGAGAUUUGUCCGCCGGCUUACGAGGAGGACAUAUUGGAAGAACCCACUGAGUACGAUGAACUUGCCCAAGGCGGUUACAGCAAGUUGAUUCGCGAAGGGUACCAAACUUCCUUCGCCCCUGUCCUGAACUUUGUGGUAAGUGUGCUCCCCUAUGUAAAUUAUGAAUUCUAGCGGACCUAUUCACUUGCACUUAUUUGUUGUCAUUGUCUUGUGAUCAUAGCGCAAAGAGGUCAAGAAACAAGCUGACGAGUCCGAAGAUAUUCUAGAUAACACACCUUGAGGAAAAAAGGGAGAAUGUGCACUUCGUCUAUUCAUAAAGGUGUUGUGUCAUUAUUAUUAUUUUGCCCAGAAUGCAACAUUAUAGGUUACCUAAUAUAUGUCAUUUAUAUUUGAAUCUAACAGGAACAGGGCAAGAAGUUACGGCGCCUAUCCAACAUUUUAGGUUGCCGUGACCCUGAAUAUGUUUCACCUUCGAGAUCCGGUUCAUCCGAAAGAAAUACACUUGACGAUUCGGCUUCUUCGGGCGCUCAUAUGGAUGAUGGUGACAUUACCCAAAGAAAUACUCAGGAGGAUGAUGCUGACACUCAUCAGGUAUGACAUAGCCAUGCAGUUUGCAUUUUCAACCUUCAGCCUUGAACCUUCAAAUUUGUAACUUUGAACCUUCAUGUGUAUUAGGCUGCGGACGACAUGACGUUGAAGGCUUUCCAACGCUCCGCUUACGUGUUGAAGCCCAGGAAGGAAUUUAAGCGCUACUCACCGGAUGAUUAUGCGAAAGGGAAGAAUCCGGUGGCCGGGAGCUCUCGUUUGUCAAGGAUGAGAAGCAGGGAGGAUGAGGUUGAGGAUGACGAUGACGAUGAGUCCGAUGACCCGGAUCAAUUUGUGGUUGCGAGAAGGAAGAAGCUAGUAUCCAAGAGGGGACGAGGCCCUAAGUGAUUUGUAGUUGGUGUUGCACUUGUCGAGCUGAACUAUUUAUUGUAGUCUUGAACUAUUUCGAGUUGUGAACCAUUUAGUUCUAGUUGCAGUUGUUGAGAACCAUUUAGUGCUAUCAAAAGAUCCUUAUUGCUGGAAAUAUAUUGCUUUCUUGCACUCACAAGAUCCUUAUUGCUGUCAAUAUAUUGAUGUAUUGCUGUUCUAAGAUCUUUAUUGCUGUCAGAAAUUGCUUUUCAUAUUCAGUUCCAGCAGGUUUUCACAUGUGUGGCGCCUAAGNUUUUGUCAAUUUUGCCUCGGGAGAAUAUGACACAAACCCUCGAGCCAAUGUGAACAACACUACAAACCCAAACAGGGUGCAAAAACAACAGAGCGUGUCCGGGAUUUGAAACCCAGACCGCCUGGUUAAACAUAUCGCUCGCUACCAAUCGGGCUAGGAGGUGAGUUCUGGAAUGAUGCUGCUUUGACCGAAAAUAAACAUGUCGCAGGGCGGAGCUCACCUCGGACCAGAUCAGACCAAAAGCGCAAGGUGGUUUGCUUGGGUCGGCGGUUGAGGCAAGGUGGGCCGGCACCACAUGGCCCACGCGGGCGAAAGAGCGAGCGGGAGGGCUUUGUCCUCCUCGCUCCCAUGGUCGUGACGAGGCAGGCACGGGGAUGCUCAAAUUCUGGCAUGAACUCGAGCAGCAGAGGUCAGGGAUGGGGCGCUGAAGCAUGGAUUCGGCCGGUAACACACCACACCGGCGGGGAGUUCCCCGGAUCUGGCGGCAGCGUGCCCUGCGGCAGCGAGCGGCGAGAAACUCGAGGCCAGCAGCCAUGGGUUUGUGCGGUCAACGGAGGGGGCGGGGUACGGCGUGGGGGAGCCCUAGCGGCGCUCCGGCGGUCGCCAGCAACCUGGCCGGGUCCGGUGGUCGGAGUGGAUGCAAGUUUGGGGCGGCCCGGGAAACGGGAUCGAGGACCUCCCCUCGGUUUGCUACGGGCGCUGGGGAGCUCCAGUUCCUUGGAACGGUGGCGGCGAACCGGGCCUGGGCAGGCCCUGGUUGGGCUCGGCGGGCCGGCAGUUGGGGUGGGAGGUGGAGGCUGUUGGCGGCUGCGGUGGGAGAUGGCUGCGUGGAUUUCAAGGUAGGGUUAGGGUUUCAAGGCUAGGGGUCUAUUUAUAGGAAAUUGGGUUAAAUUAGGUUUUUUUGUCCAAUUCGGAUUGUUGGAUCGCGAUCCGAUGGCUCUGAUCGGAGGGGUAGCUAGGUGUGUUGUUGGGGUGUGUGGAUACGUUGGACUGAGAUGAGAGAGGGGUUUUUUGGGCCCGAGACAACAUUUUAAAACAUCGAAAAACCUAUGACGAUAAACGAGUGACGACGCCGCUACAGUCGAC
rnacentral:lncRNA from 1 species